rnacentral:lncRNA from 1 species
ACGGAUAAAGAUCCGAGGUAACAGCAAUUAAAGGAACGAUAAACCCUGAGAUCCUUCCAAGCUAACAUCAUCAAAGAAAGUGGGUCAGUACAGGUAAUCGGAAUGAACUUCCAGGGGGUAUCCCACAAAUAAAGUGGAAUACCAGACAAACCAUCUCUGCAAGAGUCAUAUGAGCCCUCACAAAACAAAACUCAACAAACAGGUUAGAGAAACAAAAUAGGGUAAUCAAGAGUUGCCCCCAAAUCAAAAUGUAACCACAUGAAUCAUG